rnacentral:rRNA from 1 species
GAUGAACGCUGGCGGCGUGCUUAACACAUGCAAGUCGAACGGAAAGGCUCCUGCUUGCAGGGGUACUCGAGUGGCGAACGGGUGAGUAACACGUGGGUGAUCUGCCCUGCACUUCGGGAUAAGCCUGGGAAACUGGGUCUAAUACCGGAUAGGACCAUCGUUUAGUGUCGGUGGUGGAAAGUUUUUUCGGUGUGGGAUGAGCUCGCGGCCUAUCAGCUUGUUGGUGGGGUAAUGGCCUACCAAGGCGUCGACGGGUAGCCGGCCUGAGAGGGUGUACGGCCACAUUGGGACUGAGAUACGGCCCAGACUCCUACGGGAGGCAGCAGUGGGGAAUAUUGCACAAUGGGCGCAAGCCUGAUGCAGCGACGCCGCGUGGGGGAUGACGGCCUUCGGGUUGUAAAUUCCUUUCGCCAGGGACGAAGCGAAAGUGACGGUACCUGGAUAAGAAGCACCGGCUAACUACGUG